rnacentral:misc_RNA from 1 species
AGGUGAACCUGCGGAAGGAUCAUUACCGCACCUAUGCACAUUCCACGUGAACCUGUUCUAUCUGUUUUGUGCUCGCUGCAUGCUCUCGGGGUCGAUAGUGUGUGGCUUGAGGUACUAAACAAAGGUUGACGAUGACUGUUUUGUUGUCAGCUUUUCUACUUUCAAACCCCUUACCAAAUGACUGAUUAUACUCCUCGAACGAAAGUUUGAGGUUUUUAAACUAGAUAACAACUUUAAGCAGUGGAUGUCUAGGCUCGCA